UUAAAUCUAUUCCAACCCAUAGUGAUCCAUGGGUGUGAGGACACAACUAAAUGUAAAGUGAUGAGCUUGUGAAUAAAACCAAAGGAGGCACAGAGUAGGUUCUGGUAAAGUGAAGUAUAACCAAAUGUCUAGGCAAAUCGCCAUUAUAGACCGAUCGAAUAAGUGGUAAGCUAUCAUAACCUCGUUGAAUAUUUUGUACCUAAUGACUAAUACAUGCAUUUCCUUUUGUUAAGUAUAGAGUUUUGGAGAGGUUCGUGAAGUGAAGCCCCCUCGUAUUUCUCUUCCUGUCUUUUUCUUUAAUUUUGUUUUGCUAUUUCCUGAUUUUGUGCAAAAGCAAAAGGAUGAUAUAUGACACGCCGUUAUUGAUUGGUGAGAUUUGAGAGGCUUGUGGAUAGAAGAAACGGUAAGUCCCACCCUAUCCGAUCAAAAUAUCAAUCUCUUUUGGAAUUUGGGCCUCACCAACAUGCUCCAUUGUUAUUCUUUAACAUCAUGAUUUGCAUGUAACUUUGGAUUCAUUAGGGUCAAUGAGAUAAAUUAAUCUGUCGAUUUUCAUAUUACCAACUUAACCAAUUUUUUUUUGGCUUGUGUAAUUACAUUUUCCCCGCAUGCCAUUUUUCACUUGGUUUUGAAAUAGAAUAUUUUAUAUUCAACUGCAUUGCUUGUUUAAGAGAUCAAAAUAAUACUAAUAUAUAUGAACUAC
rnacentral:lncRNA from 1 species